ensembl:lncRNA
UGUAAAAAAAUACAGGUGUCCUUCCUAAAUCUGUUGCGGAGAAGAAGGAUACCGCUUAAGGAUUUCACCAUGAGGCCAAUGGUGACUUUAAAAACUGAGGAUAAAUUAACAACAUUGUAAUUACUAACCUAAUUGACAGAGAAAAGAAGGAAGCUUGUACAGAAUAAAAUUAUUCUAAAACAUGCAUCCUGUUUGCAAUAAGGCACUAAAGUAAAACUGCAAAAAACUUGUCUAAAAAAGUCUUUUAUGUCCUGAAUACAAAGUGUUAUGUUUGGGGAAAAACCAACACAUCACUGAAUACCCAUCGUCGUAUUUUCAAGCAUGGUUAUGGCUGCAUCAUGUUAUGGGUAUGCUUGUCAUCGGCAAGAACAACAGAGUUUUUUGGGGGGAUAAAAAUAAAUGGAAAAGAGCUAAGCACCAACAGAAUCCUAGAGGAAAACCUGGUUCUGUCUGCUUUCCAACAGAGAGGUGGCUUAUGACAAAUUCACCUUUCAGCAGGACAAUAACCUAAAACUGGAAUUGCUUUCCAAGACAUUGAAUGUUUCUGAGUGGCCUAGUUACUGUGUUGACUGCUUGAAAAUGGUUGUAUAGCAAUGAUCAACUAUCAGCUGGAAGAAUAUUUAAAAGAAUGUGCAAAUAUUGUACAAUCCAGGUGUACAAAGCCCUUGGAGACGUACUCAGAAAGACUCACAGCUGUAAAUCGCUAACAUGUAUUGACUCAGGUGUAUUGUAUUGACUCAAACCAGAAACCGUGGAUAGAUGGCAGCAUUCGCACAAAACUGAAAGCGCAAACCACCGCAUUUAACCAGGACAAGGUGACAGGGAAUAUGGCCGAAUACAAACGGUGUAGUUAUUACCCCCCAUAAGGCAACCAAAAAGGCAAAGCAUCAGUACAGAGACAAAGUAGAGUCGCAAUUCAACAGCUCAGACACGAGACGUAUGUGGCAGGGUCUACAGACAACCACGGAAUACAAAGGGAAAACCAGCCAAGUCGCUGACACUGAUGUCUUGCUUCCGGACAAGCUAAACACCUUCUUUGAGGAUAACACAGUGCCACCAACGUAGCCUGCUAACAAGAACUGUGGGCUCUCCUUCUCUGUGGCUGAUCUGUCUCCACUUGCUUCAAGAUGGCCACCAUUGUUCCUGUACCCAAGAAAGCAAAGAUCCACAGACGAUGCAAUCGCCAUCGCACUGCACACUGCCCUAUCCCAUCUGGACAAGAGGAAUACCUAUGUAAGAAUGUUGUACAUUGACUAUAGCUCAGUAUUCAACACCAUAGUACCAUUCAAGCUCAUCAUUAAGCUUGGGGCCCUGGGUCUGAACCCCACCCCGUGCAACUGGGUCCUGGACUUCCUGAUGGGCUGCCCCCGGGUGGUAAAAGUAGGAAAUAACAUCUCCACUUCGCUGACCCUCAACACUGGAGCCCCACAAGGGUGCAUGCUCAGCCCCCUCCAGGACUCCCUGUUCACCCAUGACUGCAUGGAAACGCACACCUCCAACUCAAUCAUCAAGUGUGCAGACGACACAACAGUAGUAGGCCUGAUGACCAACAAUGACGAGACGGCCUACAGGGAGGAGGUGAGGGCCCUGGGAGAAUGGUGCAAGGAAAAUAACUUCUCACUCAAUGUCAAAAAAGCAAAAGGAGCUGAUCGUGGAUUUCAGGAAACAGCAGAGGGAGCACGCCCCUAUCCACAUCGACGGGACCGUAGUGGAGAAGGUGGAAAGCUUAAGUUCCUCUGCGUACACAUCACUGACGAUCCAAAAGGGUCCACACACACAGACAGUGAGGUGAAGAAGGUGCAACAGCGCCUCUUCAACCUUAGGAGGCUAAAGAAAUUUGUAUUGGCCCCUAAAACCCUCACAAACUUUUACAAAUGCACAAUUGAGAGCAUCCUGUGGGGCUGUAUCACCACCUGAUACAACUGCAUCACCCGCAACCGCAGGGCUCACCAGAGGGUAGUGCAGUCUGCCAAACGCAUCACAGGUAACUACCUGCCCUCUAGGACACCUACAGCAUCCGAUGUCACAGGAAGGCCAAAAGGAUCAUCAAGGACAUCAACCACCCGAGCCAUGGCCUGUUCACCCCGCUGUCAUCCAGAAGGAGUGGUCAGUACAGGUGCAUUAAAGCUGGGACUGAGAGACUGAAAAACAGCUUGUAUCUCAAGGCCAUCAGACUGUUAAAUAGCCAUCACUAGCACAUUAGAGGCUGCUGCCCUAUAUACAUAUAAUUAGAAUCACUGGCCAAUUUAAUAAUGGAACACUAGUCACUUGAAUAAUGUUUACAUACUUCUUUAGUCAUCUCAUAUGUAUAUACUGUAUUCAAUUCUACUGUAUUCUACUGCCAUUCCGACAUUGAGAAAUAUAUAUUUCUUAAUUCUAUUCUUUUACUUUUAGAUUUGUGUGAAUUGUUAGAUACUGCUUCACUGUUGGAGCUAUGAACACAAGCAUUUCGCUACACCUGCAAAAACAUCUGCUGAAUGUGUAUGUGACCAAUACAAUUUGAUUUGAUUUUGUGUGAAUACUUAUGUAAAUGACAUGGUUUUUUUUGGCAAACAUUUCUAAAAACAUGCCUUCACCUUUUAACUAUGAGGUAUUGUGUGUAAAUGGGUGAGACAAAAUCUAUGUAAUCCAUUUUGAAUUCAGGCUGUAACACAACAAAAUGAGGAAUAAAUCAAGG